GGCAUGAAGCAGGGAGGGGAGGGACAGGGUCUAGGAAGCCAUUCUUAGCAUCUGCAAGUCAGGAGUUUUCGGGAAACCGGAGCCGGGAGGGAGGGUCCGGUUUCCUAGCGUAGGCAGGACGGCGGCGGGGGGAGGAGGUCCCUGCGCCUCCGGGGAGGGCGCCGCGGCUCUGGGACUCCGGAGUUUCGCGCCCCGGGCGUGGGCAAACCCAAAGAGCUGGGGCCCCGGCCAUCUGGGACCCCGGACUGGCCGCCGCCCCUCCUGGGACCGCUCCCCGCGACUCUUCCCGGAG
rnacentral:lncRNA from 1 species